rnacentral:rRNA from 1 species
UACGUAGGGGGCAAGCGUUGUCCGGAUUUAUUGGGCGUAAAGAGCUCGUAGGUGGUUCGGUAAGUCGGAUGUGAAAUCUCCAGGCUCAACCUGGAGGGGUCAUUCGAUACUGCCGUGACUAGAGUUCGGUAGGGGAGUGUGGAAUUCCUGGUGGAGCGGUGAAAUGCGCAGAUAUCAGGAGGAACACCGAUGGCGAAGGCAGAUCUCUGGGCCGUAACUGACGCUGAGGAGCGAAAGCGUGGGGAGCGAACAGG